rnacentral:rRNA from 1 species
GCGAACCGGGGGAACUGAAACAUCUAAGUACCCCGAGGAAAAGAAAUCAACCGAGAUUCCCCCAGUAGCGGCGAGCGAACGGGGAGCAGCCCAGAGCCUGAAUCAGUGUGUGUGUUAGUGGAAGCGUCUGGAAAGGCGCGCGAUACAGGGUGACAGCCCCGUACACAAAAAUGCACAUAUUGUGAGCUCGAUGAGUAGGGCGGGACACGUGGUAUCCUGUCUGAAUAUGGGGGGCCCAUCCUCCAAGGCUAAAUACUCCUGACUGACCGAUAGUGAACCAGUACCGUGAGGGAAAGGCGAAAAGAACCCCGGCGAGGGGAGUGAAAAAGAACCUGAAACCGUGUACGUACAAGCAGUGGGAGCACGCUUAGGCGUGUGACUGCGUACCUUUUGUAUAAUGGGUCAGCGACUUAUAUUCUGUAGCAAGGUUAACCGAAUAGGGGAGCCGAAGGGAAACCGAGUCUUAACUGGGCGUUAAGUUGCAGGGUAUAGACCCGAAACCCGGUGAUCUAGCCAUGGGCAGGUUGAAGGUUGGGUAACACUAACUGGAGGACCGAACCGACUAAUGUUGAAAAAUUAGCGGAUGACUUGUGGCUGGGGGUGAAAGGCCAAUCAAACCGGGAGAUAGCUGGUUCUCCCCGAAAGCUAUUUAGGUAGCGCCUCGUGAAUUCAUCUCCGGGGGUAGAGCACUGUUUCGGCAAGGGGGUCAUCCCGACUUACCAACCCGAUGCAAACUGCGAAUACCGGAGAAUGUUAUCACGGGAGACACACGGCGGGUGCUAACGUCCGUCGUGAAGAGGGAAACAACCCAGACCGCCAGCUAAGGUCCCAAAGUCAUGGUUAAGUGGGAAACGAUGUGGGAAGGCCCAGACAGCCAGGAUGUUGGCUUAGAAGCAGCCAUCAUUUAAAGAAAGCGUAAUAGCUCACUGGUCGAGUCGGCCUGCGCGGAAGAUGUAACGGGGCUAAACCAUGCACCGAAGCUGCGGCAGCGACGCUUAUGCGUUGUUGGGUAGGGGAGCGUUCUGUAAGCCUGCGAAGGUGUGCUGUGAGGCAUGCUGGAGGUAUCAGAAGUGCGAAUGCUGACAUAAGUAACGAUAAAGCGGGUGAAAAGCCCGCUCGCCGGAAGACCAAGGGUUCCUGUCCAACGUUAAUCGGGGCAGGGUGAGUCGACCCCUAAGGCGAGGCCGAAAGGCGUAGUCGAUGGGAAACAGGUUAAUAUUCCUGUACUUGGUGUUACUGCGAAGGGGGGACGGAGAAGGCUAUGUUGGCCGGGCGACGGUUGUCCCGGUUUAAGCGUGUAGGCUGGUUUUCCAGGCAAAUCCGGAAAAUCAAGGCUGAGGCGUGAUGACGAGGCACUACGGUGCUGAAGCAACAAAUGCCCUGCUUCCAGGAAAAGCCUCUAAGCAUCAGGUAACAUCAAAUCGUACCCCAAACCGACACAGGUGGUCAGGUAGAGAAUACCAAGGCGCUUGAGAGAACUCGGGUGAAGGAACUAGGCAAAAUGGUGCCGUAACUUCGGGAGAAGGCACGCUGAUAUGUAGGUGAAGUCCCUUGCGGAUGGAGCUGAAAUCAGUCGAAGAUACCAGCUGGCUGCAACUGUUUAUUAAAAACACAGCACUGUGCAAACACGAAAGUGGACGUAUACGGUGUGACGCCUGCCCGGUGCCGGAAGGUUAAUUGAUGGGGUCAGCGCAAGCGAAGCUCUUGAUCGAAGCCCCGGUAAACGGCGGCCGUAACUAUAACGGUCCUAAGGUAGCGAAAUUCCUUGUCGGGUAAGUUCCGACCUGCACGAAUGGCGUAAUGAUGGCCAGGCUGUCUCCACCCGAGACUCAGUGAAAUUGAACUCGCUGUGAAGAUGCAGUGUACCCGCGGCAAGACGGAAAGACCCCGUGAACCUUUACUAUAGCUUGACACUGAACAUUGAGCCUUGAUGUGUAGGAUAGGUGGGAGGCUUUGAAGUGUGGACGCCAGUCUGCAUGGAGCCGGCCUUGAAAUACCACCCUUUAAUGUUUGAUGUUCUAACGUGGACCCGUGAUCCGGGUUGCGGACAGUGUCUGGUGGGUAGUUUGACUGGGGCGGUCUCCUCCUAAAGAGUAACGGAGGAGCACGAAGGUUGGCUAAUCCUGGUCGGACAUCAGGAGGUUAGUGCAAUGGCAUAAGCCAGCUUGACUGCGAGCGUGACGGCGCGAGCAGGUGCGAAAGCAGGUCAUAGUGAUCCGGUGGUUCUGAAUGGAAGGGCCAUCGCUCAACGGAUAAAAGGUACUCCGGGGAUAACAGGCUGAUACCGCCCAAGAGUUCAUAUCGACGGCGGUGUUUGGCACCUCGAUGUCGGCUCAUCACAUCCUGGGGCUGAAGUAGGUCCCAAGGGUAUGGCUGUUCGCCAUUUAAAGUGGUACGCGAGCUGGGUUUAGAACGUCGUGAGACAGUUCGGUCCCUAUCUGCCGUGGGCGCUGGAGAACUGAGGGGGGCUGCUCCUAGUACGAGAGGACCGGAGUGGACGCAUCACUGGUGUUCGGGUUGUCAUGCCAAUGGCACUGCCCGGUAGCUAAAUGCGGAAGAGAUAAGUGCUGAAAGCAUCUAAGCACGAAACUUGCCCCGAGAUGAGUUCUCCCUGACCCUUUAAGGGUCCUGAAGGAACGUUGAAGACGACGACGUUGAUAGGCCGGGUGUGUAAGCGCAGCGAUGCGUUGAGCUAACCGGUACUAAUGAACCGUGAGGCUUAACCUUACAACGCCGAAG